rnacentral:ncRNA from 1 species
UCGGGAGGACGACCUCCCCCCAAGCAUGGGAUUCAAGGUCCGGGACGGCCCGG